UUUUCAUUAUAGUCAGUCUUACUCAUUUUGUUAUUGUUAUUGUUGUUUUCAUUUUGUACAGCCCAAAUAUAAAGAACCAUCUAUGCAUCAUAAUAGAGAAGUACAUGGGCCCGUGUCAAAACUAGGAGAACAAAUGUUCCAGUGCCCAGAAUGGACAACAUCUGGUUUUGGAGGGAAGAUGUGGAAGAGUAGGGGACUCAUGUUUCAUCUGGUCCCUUGA
rnacentral:lncRNA from 1 species